UACGUAGGGGCUAGCGUUAUCCGGAAUUACUGGGCGUAAAGGGUGCGUAGGUGGUUUCUUAAGUCAGAGGUGAAAGGCUACGGCUCAACCGUAGUAAGCCUUUGAAACUGGGAAACUUGAGUGCAGGAGAGGAGAGUGGAAUUCCUAGUGUAGCGGUGAAAUGCGUAGAUAUUAGGAGGAACACCGGCGGCGAAGGCGGCUUACUGGACGAAGACUGACGUUGAGGCUCGAAAGCGUGGGGAGCAAACAGGAUUAGAUACCUGCGUAGUCCCUGAGCGGGCUGG
rnacentral:rRNA from 1 species